rnacentral:rRNA from 1 species
GAUGAACGCUGGCGGCGUGCCUAAUACAUGCAAGUCGAACGAGGUGCUUUUGUAGCAAUACGAGAGUAUCCUAGUGGCGAACGGGUGAGUAACGCGUUGGUGACCUACCCCAAAGUGUGGGAUAACAGUCCGAAAGGAUUGCUAAUACCGCAUGUGGUCUUCGGAUUUAGAAACUGAUGACUAAAGGAGCAAUUCGCUUUGGGAGGGACCUGCGUCCCAUCAGCUAGUUGGUGAGGUAAUGGCUCACCAAGGCUACGACGGGUAGGGGACCUGAGAGGGUGACCCCCCCACAAUGGAACUGAAACACGGUCCAUACACCUACGGGUGGCAGCAGUAGGGAAUAUUGCACAAUGGGCGAAAGCCUGAUGCAGCAACGCCGCGUGUGCGAUGAAGGCCUUCGGGUCGUAAAGCACUUUUCUGGGAGAUGAGCAAGGACAGUAUCUCAGGAAUAAGUCUCGGCUAAC